UAUAUUUAUAUACAGUAAAAAGAAACAAAAAACAAUCAUGAUUUUAUAUGCUUAAUUAUUUUCUUGACCAGAAUCAGAGGAUAGAAAAGUAAUGCUAUAAAGAUUGGCAAAACGCAGCCCACACUACUGGUCAGCACAAAGCAACCUACACUACAGUUUAAAAAAAAUAGUAUUAAUAAAAAAACUCUUUAAAAAGCUUGUAUGAUUUAUGUCAGAACCAGAAACGUUAGUAAAAUUGAUGGUACGAUUAAACUCAGCAUGGUGGUUUAACGGCUUGAGCGCUUCAUAAAGCAAGACUAUGUUAUCUUGAAAAGCAAGACUUUGUCUACUUAAAAUGU
rnacentral:misc_RNA from 1 species